rnacentral:tRNA from 4 species
GGGCCGCUAGCUCAGGGGUAGAGCAUCUGACUUUUAAUCAGGGGGUCAUUGGUUCAAAUCCAAUGCGGCUCA